AUUGAACGCUGGCGGAAUGCUUUACACAUGCAAGUCGAACGGCAGCACGGGGCAACCUGGUGGCGAGUGGCGAACGGGUGAGUAAUACAUCGGAACGUGCCCAAUCGUGGGGGAUAACGUAGCGAAAGUUACGCUAAUACCGCAUACGAUCUACGGAUGAAAGCGGGGGAUCGCAAGACCUCGCGCGAGUGGAGCGGCCGAUGUCAGAUUAGGUAGUUGGUGGGGUAAAGGCUCACCAAGCCAACGAUCUGUAGCUGGUCUGAGAGGACGACCAGCCACACUGGAACUGAGACACGGUCCAGACUCCUACGGGAGGCAGCAGUGGGGAAUUUUGGACAAUGGGCGCAAGCCUGAUCCAGCCAUUCCGCGUGCAGGAUGAAGGCCUUCGGUUGUAAACUGCUUUUGUACGGAACGAAACGGCGAGCUCUAAUACAGUUUGCUAAUGACGGUACCGUAAGAAUAAGCACCGGCUAACUACGUGCCAGCAGCCGCGGUAAUA
rnacentral:rRNA from 1 species